rnacentral:rRNA from 1 species
ACGUAGGGUGCGAGCGUUAAUCGGAAUUACUGGGCGUAAAGCGUGCGCAGGCGGUUCGCUAAGACAGGUGUGAAAUCCCGGGGCUUAACCUGGGAAUGGCGCUUGAGACUGGCGGGCUGGAGUACGGUAGAGGGGGGUGGAAUUUCACGUGUAGCAGUGAAAUGCGUAGAGAUCUGGAGGAACACCAGUGGCGAAGGCAGCCCCCUGGGCCGAUACUGACGCUCAGACACGAAAGCGUGGGGAGCAAACAG